UCUAAGUGCAACCAUGAGUUUUCGUGCCCAACUUUAAUUGUCCGUCUUUUUUUUUAUAAUUAGUAUUUUUGUUGUUAUAAGAUGAUAAAACAUGAAUAGUACUUUACUCGUGACUUAUGUUUUUAAUUUUUUUCAAAAAUUUUUUAAAUAAGACGAACGAUCAAAGUUGAGCGUAGAAAACCAUGGCUGUACUUAAA
rnacentral:pre_miRNA from 1 species